CACAUCACCAGCAUCGUGUAGGCAGGUACAAGAAAAAAACCUGUUGAGCUGUGCCUUUUCCUGCCACUGUCACACCCUCUGGCCUGAUGUGGACUGUGCCUGCUGCGAGCCAGGCAGCAACUGAAAAGCAUCAGGGAAUCACAUUAUGUUAGAUCCUUCCAGCUUCAAGUAAUUAACUCAGUCCAUUUUAUGGAACUGGGAUGAUUUUGAAGAAACUCCAAUGGAAUAUAUAGACAAUUCCUUGGCAAUCAGCAAAGCAGUAGCAGUUCAUGGAUCUGCCCUUCACAAACCUUGAAUUAGCUUUCAUCUUGCUGGCUUUUGUCAUUUUCACCUUGUUUACCCUGGCUUCUAUCUACAGUGACUCCCAUGACAACAAAGAAGGGGUCUUGAAAACUUCUUUCACUGUGAUGCAAACUAGCAGCACUUUCCUUGCAUGUGGGACAAGUUAAGAACACCCAUAUGAACAGGUAGGAUGGCUCAUCUGGAACUUGUUAUGCUAACAUAAAUCAGCCGUGUUUGAUACAGGCCUU
rnacentral:lncRNA from 1 species